CGCGUAGGCGGUCGGGUAAGUCGGGUGUGAAAUUCCGGGGCUCAACCCCGUGGACUGCACCCGAUACUGCUCGACUAGAGAGGUAGGGGCGAGUGGAAUUCCCGGUGUAGCGGUGGAAUGCGUAGAUAUCGGGAAGAACACCGGUGGCGAAGGCGGCUCGCUGGGCCUCAUCUGACGCUGAAGCGCGAAAGCGUGGGGAGCAAACA
rnacentral:rRNA from 1 species